GUGAGGGCAAGCCAACCACAGAAAAGCCAUCUCAGUUCGGAUUGUAGUCUGCAACCCGACUACAUGAAGCUGGAAUCGCUAGUAAUCGCAGAUCAGAAUGCUGCGGUGAAUACGUUCCCGGGUCUUGUACACACCGCCCGUCACACCAUGGGAGUUGGAAAUGCCCGAAGCCAGUGACCCAACCGUAAGGAGGGAGCUGUCGAAGGUGGAGCCGAUGACUGGGGUGAAGUCGUAACAAGGUAAC
rnacentral:rRNA from 1 species